rnacentral:tRNA from 1 species
ACCCCUGUAGUGCAAUGGAUAGCACGUUGGACUUCUAAUCCAAAGGCAGUAGGUUCGAAUCCCACCUGGAAUG